ACGAACGCUGGCGGCGUGCCUAAUACAUGCAAGUUGAGCGCUGAAGGUUGGUACUUGUACCAACUGGAUGAGCAGCGAACGGGUGAGUAACGCGUGGGGAAUCUGCCUUUGAGCGGGGGACAACAUUUGGAAACGAAUGCUAAUACCGCAUAAAAACUUUAAACACAAGUUUUAAGUUUGAAAGAUGCAAUUGCAUCACUCAAAGAUGAUCCCGCGUUGUAUUAGCUAGUUGGUGAGGUGAAGGCUCACCAAGGCGAUGAUACAUAGCCGACCUGAGAGGGUGAUCGGCCACAUUGGGACUGAGACACGGCCCAAACUCCUACGGGAGGCAGCAGUAGGGAAUCUUCGGCAAUAGACGAAAGUCUGACCGAGCAACGCCGCGUGAGUGAAGAAGGUUUUCGGAUCGUAAAACUCUGUUGGUAGAGAAGAACGUUGGUGAGAGUGGAAAGCUCAUCAAGUGACGGUAACUACCCAGAAAGGGACGGCUAACUACGUG
rnacentral:rRNA from 1 species